AAAGUCUACAAAUCCAUCAUAUCAACCCCUAGAUUAAGAUCCUAAAGAAAAAGUAGAUUUAAAGUCUUGAAAAUGUUCUAUCUUGAAUGCCAUCUCAAAUGAAUUGUCUAUUGUCUUAGACCCUAAUUCAAUCAUACAAGCACUAUUUUAAGGGCUCCAAAUCCAUUUUUAUAGGGUGAAUGGAUUCACAGGGGUUUAUACCAGGUUUUAUAACGGUAUUAGUGUUUCAAUCCAUGGCGAAUUUUGAAAGGGGAGGCUUCUGUAAACCCCCGAACCAUCAUUAGAUGAGUUUAAAGAUACAUUUUCCAUUGAGCCAUCAAGUUUUUUGAUGUUGCUUUUUUGUUUUCCCAGGAGAUCGCAUUUAUUGGUGAGUUAUGUGGUGAAAGGAGAUUUCAAACGAAGUCCAAGGUGGGUUCUUCUCCAAUGAAAUCACAAUAUUUUUCGGCAAAAUUUGAGAUGGGUUGUAUUUCCUUGUGAAAUCACAUGUUGAGUUUGAUAUCUGACAAAAUUUCAAAAAGAUUUUAAUUGUUUUGGCGAUUUUAAUUUUUUUUCUUUUCACGGCAAAGGAUAUUUCCAUCCGUUUUAGAAUUAUUGGCAAGUUCUCAAGCAAUGACUAGACUCCGGGAUUAAGGGUGGCUCAAAAGAACCUGUAUCUGUGUUUUUCUUUACCAUUUCUCAAUCAGGAGGACAGAUUGGUACUUCAUAGAACUCUGGUUUGCUUCACCAUAGAAUGGCGGAAAGACUAUUGCCUUUUUGUAAGACUGCACAUAAAAAAGCAGUGUGGUUUCAUCCAAGAGUGACACUAGAAGAACCAGGCUUACCUGUAGUUGUAUAGGAUGAAGAAGGAGACAAUCACGACAUUAUCUACCCAACACCAGAAUCUGUCUCUGUGGCGAUUGGUAAUCAUCUUGACUUUCGGUCCGAUGAUGAAGUAGAAUUCGCGCCUCCUCCACUCAAUGUAAUGGAACUACGUAUUGGAGAGAUUACUAUGCCGGGGUUGCUGGGUUUUCAGGUUCCAGAUCUUCAGAAUCAAGAGCAUGUUGCAAAUUUUGUGUUCCUCAAUAUUCUAAUAUGGAUCAGGAGUAAAAAGCGACUUUUAAACUUAUGGGUGUUGUUUUUGGUGAUGGUUUGCCAUUGAUGCUUGAUGCCCUUAGAGAGAAAUAUAGAGGAGAACAAAUGAGUUUAACGAUGAUUUACUAAUCUCUAUUGCUAUAGAAGAUAUGAUCAAUGAGACGGUUGUGAAAAGUGAAAAGAAGAAAGCUCCUAUGAGAGGAACUCGUCGAACUCGUCAUUCUGCCCGUAUAGCUGCAAAAUCAAAAGCGCAUAUUGGAGUGGUUAUUUCUGAAAAUCGUGGAUAUACAAUUGUUUUAAGCAUUGAUGAUGACAACCCUAGACCUGCCAAAUUACAGUCCUUCACUAGAGUCGGGGAAUGCUCUAAAGUUCAUGCAGAUGCUUAGUUCGAAUGUGCAUGGCUUGGGAAGCAUACACUGAAAAAAUGGGGUGUCUUUUUUUCCUCAGGACAGAAAGACUGGGUAUCUUAAUGCUACAGGAAACUAAGCUUGGAGAUAAGGUCUAUGCAUUUAUGGGGAAGGGGGUUCUUGCCAUUUUGUGGGUUUAGAUUCAAUAGGAUCUUUUGGGAGUCUUUGGUGUAUUUGGGAUGCAUCUUCUUUUAUUGUUAUUGAUGUUUUCUUAACGGAUAUAGACUUAUUCGUAUUAUUUUGGAAGGACUUUUUUGCACUUUUAGAUGGUUGUUGAUAAAUGUUUAUGGC
rnacentral:lncRNA from 1 species